rnacentral:lncRNA from 1 species
CAUGAAUAUAUUUCCUUUCUCAUGAGACAUGUAAUGAAAAUAUACUGGAUGCUUCACACAUGUCCUUGCAGGAGGCUCAGCUCUUAAUUUGACUUGGAAAUCAAUAAGAAAUCUCCCAAAGCCAUCUACAAUAGGAACCAGAAUUUUGUCUAUUACUCUAAUUUUUCCACAUAGUUUGAAGAAUGGAAAAACUGGAGUUAAAAAUAUAAAACAAUCCGUGAAAAGGUAAUAAGCCAUCUUCCAAACGAUACUGAUAGAAACAUUAAAAAGUUUCACAGGAAAAAAAAAAAAUUAGGAAAAGAUGGGACGAAAGGAAGAGCCAGCAGAGAAAAAGGCCGUGUUCCCUAAGAAAGAGAUUUGGAAAAUAGAACUUUUAUCACAGAGGUCUCGUAGGCCUCAACAGGGACCACCACUUCAUAAUGGGG